rfam:Felis catus isolate Cinnamon breed Abyssinian chromosome B4, whole genome shotgun sequence.
GCCUGGGUGGCUCAGUCGGUUGGGCAUCUGACUUUGGCUCAGGUCAUGAUUUUGCGGUCUGUGAGUUCGAGCCCCGCAUCAGGCU